rnacentral:tRNA from 1 species
CCCUGGGUGGCUCGGUUGGUUGAGCGUCUGACUUUGACUCAGGUCAUGAUCUCACGGUUUGUGGGUUCGAGCCCCAUGUCAGGCU